CUGAAAGCAUCUAAGCACGAAACUUGCCCCGAGAUGAGUUCUCCCUGACUCCUUGAGAGUCCUGAAGGAACGUUGAAGACGACGACGUUGAUAGGCCGGGUGUGUAAGCGCAGCGAUGCGUUGAGCUAACCGGUACUAAUGAACCGUGAGGCUUAACCUUACAACGCCGAAG
rnacentral:rRNA from 1 species